AGAGUUUGAUCCUGGCUCAGAUUGAACGCUGGCGGCACGCUUAACACAUGCAAGUCGAGCGAUUUUAUGCUUUCGGGCAUGAGAUAGCGGCGGACGGGUGAGUAAUGCGUAGGGAUCUGCCCUGAAGUGGGGGACAACCUUGGGAAACUAGGGCUAAUACCGCAUAAUAUUCUGAGGAAGAAAGUUGCGUUACUCUUUUUGUGCAUUUGGAUGAGUAGUGUAUAAAGAGAGUAACGUGACGCUUUAGGAUGAACCUACGUCCGAUUAGCUAGUUGGUAGGGUAAAGGCCUACCAAGGCGACGAUCGGUAGCUGGUCUGAGAGGACGGACAGCCACACUGGGACUGAGACACGGCCCAGACUCCUACGGGAGGCAGCAGUGGGGAAUAUUGGACAAUGGGGGCAACCCUGAUCCAGCGAUGCCGCGUGUGUGAAGAAGGCCUGAGGGUUGUAAAGCACUUUUGUUAGGGAAGAUUGUUGUUGUGGUGAAUAGCCAUGAUGAUUGACGGUACCUGACGAAUAAGCACCGGCUAACUCUGUGCCAGCAGCCGCGGUAAUACAGAGGGUGCAAGCGUUAAUCGGAAUUACUGGGCGUAAAGGGCGCGUAGGUUGAUGUGUAAGUCAUAUGUGAAAGGCCUGGGCUUAACCUAGGAAUUGCAUAUGAUACUGUACGUCUAGAGUAAAGUAGAGGGUGGCGGAAUUUCCGGUGUAGCGGUGAAAUGCGUAGAUAUCGGAAGGAACACCAGUGGCGAAGGCGGCCACCUGGGCUUUAACUGACACUGAGGCGCGAAAGCGUGGGGAGCAAACAGGAUUAGAUACCCUAGUAGUCC
rnacentral:rRNA from 1 species